CAUGAACAAAGUCCAGAGAAUUACAUUUGCAAGCCUUAUAUUUAACCCUGUAACUUUCAGAGACUUCGCUGAAUACAAGUAUUAGUUUUUCAAAACAGUAAAACAUAUCACAAUGAUUAUAUCAGCCAUGAAAUGAAAUUUUUUUUGCAUUGUUUUUACACACAAAUAGCACUUUUUUACUCUUGAUAUAAUCGUUGUAAUAGGUUUUACUAUUUUGAAAGUGUGUGCAGCGAAGUCUCCCGAGUAUAACAGUACCGUGGAAUACCAUUUGCAAAAGUAGACAACACAAUGUAUUGCAUAUGGAUUAGCAGUCAAAUUUGUUUUUUUGCAUUUUUAACAAACUAGUUUUAAAGCUAAAUUUGUCCAGUGUUUGUGAC